rnacentral:rRNA from 1 species
GGGUUGUGAGGUUAAGCGACUAAGCGUACACGGUGGAUGCCCUGGCAGUCAGAGGCGAUGAAGGACGUGCUAAUCUGCGAUAAGCGUCGGUAAGGUGAUAUGAACCGUUAUAACCGGCGAUUUCCGAAUGGGGAAACCCAGUGUGUUUCGACACACUAUCAUUAACUGAAUCCAUAGGUUAAUGAGGCGAACCGGGGGAACUGAAACAUCUAAGUACCCCGAGGAAAAGAAAUCAACCGAGAUUCCCCCAGUAGCGGCGAGCGAACGGGGAGCAGCCCAGAGCCUGAAUCAGUGUGUGUGUUAGUGGAAGCGUCUGGAAAGGCGCGCGAUACAGGGUGACAGCCCCGUACACAAAAAUGCACAUGCUGUGAGCUCGAUGAGUAGGGCGGGACACGUGGUAUCCUGUCUGAAUAUGGGGGGACCAUCCUCCAAGGCUAAAUACUCCUGACUGACCGAUAGUGAACCAGUACCGUGAGGGAAAGGCGAAAAGAACCCCGGCGAGGGGAGUGAAAAAGAACCUGAAACCGUGUACGUACAAGCAGUGGGAGCACGCUUAGGCGUGUGACUGCGUACCUUUUGUAUAAUGGGUCAGCGACUUAUAUUCUGUAGCAAGGUUAACCGAAUAGGGGAGCCGAAGGGAAACCGAGUCUUAACUGGGCGUUAAGUUGCAGGGUAUAGACCCGAAACCCGGUGAUCUAGCCAUGGGCAGGUUGAAGGUUGGGUAACACUAACUGGAGGACCGAACCGACUAAUGUUGAAAAAUUAGCGGAUGACUUGUGGCUGGGGGUGAAAGGCCAAUCAAACCGGGAGAUAGCUGGUUCUCCCCGAAAGCUAUUUAGGUAGCGCCUCGUGAAUUCAUCUCCGGGGGUAGAGCACUGUUUCGGCAAGGGGGUCAUCCCGACUUACCAACCCGAUGCAAACUGCGAAUACCGGAGAAUGUUAUCACGGGAGACACACGGCGGGUGCUAACGUCCGUCGUGAAGAGGGAAACAACCCAGACCGCCAGCUAAGGUCCCAAAGUCAUGGUUAAGUGGGAAACGAUGUGGGAAGGCCCAGACAGCCAGGAUGUUGGCUUAGAAGCAGCCAUCAUUUAAAGAAAGCGUAAUAGCUCACUGGUCGAGUCGGCCUGCGCGGAAGAUGUAACGGGGCUAAACCAUGCACCGAAGCUGCGGCAGCGACGCUUAUGCGUUGUUGGGUAGGGGAGCGUUCUGUAAGCCUGCGAAGGUGUGCUGUGAGGCAUGCUGGAGGUAUCAGAAGUGCGAAUGCUGACAUAAGUAACGAUAAAGCGGGUGAAAAGCCCGCUCGCCGGAAGACCAAGGGUUCCUGUCCAACGUUAAUCGGGGCAGGGUGAGUCGACCCCUAAGGCGAGGCCGAAAGGCGUAGUCGAUGGGAAACAGGUUAAUAUUCCUGUACUUGGUGUUACUGCGAAGGGGGGACGGAGAAGGCUAUGUUGGCCGGGCGACGGUUGUCCCGGUUUAAGCGUGUAGGCUGGUUUUCCAGGCAAAUCCGGAAAAUCAAGGCUGAGGCGUGAUGACGAGGCACUACGGUGCUGAAGCAACAAAUGCCCUGCUUCCAGGAAAAGCCUCUAAGCAUCAGGUAACAUCAAAUCGUACCCCAAACCGACACAGGUGGUCAGGUAGAGAAUACCAAGGCGCUUGAGAGAACUCGGGUGAAGGAACUAGGCAAAAUGGUGCCGUAACUUCGGGAGAAGGCACGCUGAUAUGUAGGUGAAGUCCCUCGCGGAUGGAGCUGAAAUCAGUCGAAGAUACCAGCUGGCUGCAACUGUUUAUUAAAAACACAGCACUGUGCAAACACGAAAGUGGACGUAUACGGUGUGACGCCUGCCCGGUGCCGGAAGGUUAAUUGAUGGGGUCAGCGCAAGCGAAGCUCUUGAUCGAAGCCCCGGUAAACGGCGGCCGUAACUAUAACGGUCCUAAGGUAGCGAAAUUCCUUGUCGGGUAAGUUCCGACCUGCACGAAUGGCGUAAUGAUGGCCAGGCUGUCUCCACCCGAGACUCAGUGAAAUUGAACUCGCUGUGAAGAUGCAGUGUACCCGCGGCAAGACGGAAAGACCCCGUGAACCUUUACUAUAGCUUGACACUGAACAUUGAGCCUUGAUGUGUAGGAUAGGUGGGAGGCUUUGAAGUGUGGACGCCAGUCUGCAUGGAGCCGACCUUGAAAUACCACCCUUUAAUGUUUGAUGUUCUAACGUUGACCCGUAAUCCGGGUUGCGGACAGUGUCUGGUGGGUAGUUUGACUGGGGCGGUCUCCUCCUAAAGAGUAACGGAGGAGCACGAAGGUUGGCUAAUCCUGGUCGGACAUCAGGAGGUUAGUGCAAUGGCAUAAGCCAGCUUGACUGCGAGCGUGACGGCGCGAGCAGGUGCGAAAGCAGGUCAUAGUGAUCCGGUGGUUCUGAAUGGAAGGGCCAUCGCUCAACGGAUAAAAGGUACUCCGGGGAUAACAGGCUGAUACCGCCCAAGAGUUCAUAUCGACGGCGGUGUUUGGCACCUCGAUGUCGGCUCAUCACAUCCUGGGGCUGAAGUAGGUCCCAAGGGUAUGGCUGUUCGCCAUUUAAAGUGGUACGCGAGCUGGGUUUAGAACGUCGUGAGACAGUUCGGUCCCUAUCUGCCGUGGGCGCUGGAGAACUGAGGGGGGCUGCUCCUAGUACGAGAGGACCGGAGUGGACGCAUCACUGGUGUUCGGGUUGUCAUGCCAAUGGCACUGCCCGGUAGCUAAAUGCGGAAGAGAUAAGUGCUGAAAGCAUCUAAGCACGAAACUUGCCCCGAGAUGAGUUCUCCCUGACUCCUUGAGAGUCCUGAAGGAACGUUGAAGACGACGACGUUGAUAGGCCGGGUGUGUAAGCGCAGCGAUGCGUUGAGCUAACCGGUACUAAUGAACCGUGAGGCUUAACCUUACAACGCCGAAGCUGUU